GAUGAACGCUGGCGGCGUGCUUAACACAUGUAAGUCGAACGGAAAGGCCCAAGCUUGCUUGGGUACUCGAGUGGCGAACGGGUGAGUAACACGUGGGUGAUCUGCCCUGCACUUCGGGAUAAGCCUGGGAAACUGGGUCUAAUACCGGAUAGGACGAUGGUUUGGAUGCCAUUGUGGAAAGUUUUUUCGGUGUGGGAUGAGCUCGCGGCCUAUCAGCUUGUUGGUGGGGUAAUGGCCUACCAAGGCGUCGACGGGUAGCCGGCCUGAGAGGGUGUACGGCCACAUUGGGACUGAGAUACGGCCCAGACUCCUACGGGAGGCAGCAAUGGGGAAUAUUGCACAAUGGGCGCAAGCCUGAUGCAGCGACGCCGCGUGGGGGAUGACGGCCUUCGGGUUGUAAACUCCUUUCGCUAGGGACGAAGCGUUUUUGUGACGGUACCUGGAGAAGAAGCACCGGCUAACUACGUG
rnacentral:rRNA from 1 species